GACGAACGCUGGCGGCGUGCUUAACACAUGCAAGUCGAACGGAAAGGCCCUGCUUUUGUGGGGUGCUCGAGUGGCGAACGGGUGAGUAACACGUGAGUAACCUGCCCUUGACUUUGGGAUAACUUCAGGAAACUGGGGCUAAUACCCGAUAGGAGCUCCUGCUGCAUGGUGGGGGUUGGAAAGGUUCGGCGGUUGGGGAUGGACUCGCGGCUUAUCAGCUUGUUGGUGGGGUAGUGGCUUACCAAGGCUUUGACGGGUAGCCGGCCUGAGAGGGUGACCGGCCACAUUGGGACUGAGAUACGGCCCAGACUCCUACGGGAGGCAGCAGUGGGGAAUAUUGCACAAUGGGCGGAAGCCUGAUGCAGCAACGCCGCGUGCGGGAUGACGGCCUUCGGGUUGUAAACCGCUUUCGCCUGUGACGAAGCGUGAGUGACGGUAAUGGGUAAAGAAGCACCGGCUAACUACGUG
rnacentral:rRNA from 1 species